CCUACGGGAGGCUGCAGUGGGGAAUAUUGGACAAUGGGGGGAACCCUGAUCCAGCCAUGCCGCGUGUGUGAAGAAGGCCCUCGGGUUGUAAAGCACUUUCAGUGAGGAAGAACGCCUGGUGGUUAAUACCCAUCAGGAAAGACAUCACUCACAGAAGAAGCACCGGCUAACUCCGUGCCAGCAGCCGCGGUAAUACGGAGGGUGCGAGCGUUAAUCGGAAUUACUGGGCGUAAAGCGCGCGUAGGUGGCUUGAUAAGCCGGUUGUGAAAGCCCCGGGCUCAACCUGGGAACGGCAUCCGGAACUGUCAAGCUAGAGUGCAGGAGAGGAAGGUAGAAUUGCCGGUGUAGCGGUGAAAUGCGUAGGGAUCGGGAGGAAUACCAGUGGCGAAGGCGGCCUUCUGGACUGACACUGACACUGAGGUGCGAAGGCGUGGGUAGCAAACAGGAUUAGAUACCCGUGUAGUC
rnacentral:rRNA from 1 species